rnacentral:rRNA from 1 species
AACUUUCAACAACGGAUCUCUUGGUUCCAGCAUCGAUGAAGAACGCAGCGAAAUGCGAUAAAUAAUGUGAAUUGCAGAAUUCCGUGAAUCAUCGAGUCUUUGAACGCACAUUGCACUCCUUGGUAUUCCGAGGAGUACGCCUGUUCGAGCGUCAUU